CUACCUCCUAACAGCUAGCCCAACCUUCUACAAACAACAACCAGGAUUAAUAACCCUAAAUGCCUAACAAACACAAGACAAACCAUUUUACCCCCUUAGUAUGGGCGACAGAAAAGGAACCCGGAGCGAUAGAGAAAGUACCGCAAGGAAAAGCUGAAAGAGAAAUGAAAUAACCCAGUAAAGAGCAAAAAAGCAGAGACACCCCCUCGUACCUUUUGCAUCAUGACUUAGCCAGUCCCCCUCAAGCAAAGUGCCCUUUAGUUUGAGCCCCCGAAACUGCGCGAGCUACUCCAAGACAGCCUAUCUAGGGCAAACCCGUCUCUGUAGCAAAAGAGUGGGAAGAUCUUUGAGUAGAGGUGAUAGACCUACCGAGCCCAGUUAUAGCUGGUUGCCUAUGAAAUGAAUAGAAGUUCAGCCCUUAAACUUUUUUAUUCCAGCAUGCUUAUGCUCCCUGUGAUACCAAGAAGUUUAAAGAGUUAUUCAAAGGGGGAACAGCCCCUAUGAAAAAAGACACAACUUUACCAGUAGGCUAAAGAUCAAAGCUUAGAAGGAACCGUACCUUAGUGGGCCUAAAAGCAGCCAUCCGCAAAGAAAGCGUUAAAGCUCAAGUACUUCUCCUCCAUAAUUUUGACCACAACAUCUUAAGCCCCUAAACACUACAGUAGGCCCUUUCAUGCAGCCAUGGAAGAGACACUGCUAACAUGAGUAAUAAGAGGACUGCCCCUCUCCUAGACAUUUGUGUACAUCAGAACGAACCAGCACUGAAAAUUAACGCUCCAACUAAAAGAAGGAAUUGAGUUAAACCAACAUACACUAGAAAUUUUCUCAAAAAUUUAGCGUUAACCCCACACAGGUGUGUUUAAGGAAAGGCUAAAAGAAAAAGAAGGAACUCGGCAAACACUGGCCUCGCCUGUUUACCAAAAACAUCGCCUCUUGCAUAAUAAUUACGUAUAAGAGGUCCCGCCUGCCCUGUGACUAAAAGUUUAACGGCCGCGGUAUUUUGACCGUGCGAAGGUAGCGUAAUCACUUGCCUUUUAAAUGAAGGCCUGUAUGAAUGGCAUAACGAGGGCUAAACUGUCUCCUUUUUCCAGCCAAUGAAAUUGAUCUUCCCGUGCAGAAGCGAGAAUAUAAACAUAAGACGAGAAGACCCUAUGGAGCUUCAGACACAAGGCAGCCCAUGUAAAACCGCCCCAUAAAAGGAAAUAACAAAAUGGUGACUGCCCUCAUGUCUUUGGUUGGGGCGACCGCGGGGCAACAAACAUCCCCCACGUGGAAUGGGUACUCCCCUUAAAAUUAGAGUCACAGCUCUAAUAAACAGAACAUCUGACCAACAAGAUCCGGCAAAGGCCGAUCAACGGACCCAGUUACCCUAGGGAUAACAGCGCAAUCCCCUUUUAGAGCCCAUAUCGACAAGGGGGUUUACGACCUCGAUGUUGGAUCAGGACAUCCUAAUGGUGCAGCCGCUAUUAAGGGUUCGUUUGUUCAACGAUUAAAGUCCUACGUGAUCUGAGUUCAGACCGGAGAAAUCCAGGUCAGUUUCUAUCUAUGAGUGCUCUUUUCUAGUACGAAAGGACCGAAAAGAGGGGGCCAAUGCUUUUAGUAAGCCCCUCCCUUACCUGAUGAAAAUAACUAAAGCAGGUAAAAGGGCAGCCCACUCUGCCUGAGAGAAAGGCAU
rnacentral:rRNA from 1 species